GAUGAACGCUAGCUACAGGCUUAACACAUGCAAGUCGAGGGGCAGCAUGAUUGAAGCUUGCUUCAAUCGAUGGCGACCGGCGCACGGGUGAGUAACACGUAUCCAACCUGCCGAUAACUCGGGGAUAGCCUUUCGAAAGAAAGAUUAAUACCCGAUAGUAUAGUAUUUCCGCAUGGUUUCACUAUUAAAGAACUUCGGUUAUCGAUGGGGAUGCGUUCCAUUAGAUAGUUGGCGGGGUAACGGCCCACCAAGUCAACGAUGGAUAGGGGUUCUGAGAGGAAGGUCCCCCACAUUGGAACUGAGACACGGUCCAAACUCCUACGGGAGGCAGCAGUGAGGAAUAUUGGUCAAGGGACGAGAGUCUGAACCAGCCAAGUAGCGUGAAGGAGGACUGCCCUAUGGGUGGUAAACUUCUUUUAUACGGGAAUAAAGUGGAGUAUGCAUACUCCUUUGUAUGUACCGUAUGAAUAAGGAUCGGCUAACUCCGUG
rnacentral:rRNA from 1 species